rnacentral:rRNA from 1 species
UACGGAGGGGGCUAGCGUUGUUCGGAAUUACUGGGCGUAAAGCGCACGUAGGCGGCUUGGCAAGUUAGAGGUGAAAGCCUGGAGCUCAACUCCAGAAUUGCCUUUAAGACUGCCGAGCUAGCAGGUGAGAGAGGUGAGUGGAAUUCCGAGUGUAGAGGUGAAAUUCGUAGAUAUUCGGAAGAACACCAGUGGCGAAGGCGGCUCACUGGCUCAUACUGGACGCUGAGGCACGAAAGCGUGGGGAGCGAACAGG